rnacentral:tRNA from 1 species
GUCUCAGUAGCGUAGUGGUUAACGCACUGCGCGGGCUAGGCUCCAGACGCGGGUUCGAAUCCCGCUUAAGAUA